rnacentral:rRNA from 1 species
UACGUAGGGUGCAAGCGUUGCCCGGAUUUAUUGGGCGUAAAGGGCGCGUAGGCGGCUCUGCACGUUCGUUGUGAAAUCGCCCGGCUCAACUGGGCGGGGUCAGCGGAUACGGCAGAGCUUGAGCAAGCUAGGGGGCAAUGGAAUUCCCGGUGUAGUGGUGGAAUGCGUAGAUAUCGGGAGGAACACCAGUGGCGAAGGCGACUUCCUGGCCUGUUCUUGACGCUGAGGCGCGAAAGCUAGGGGAGCAAACGGG